UACUCUGCCUGGCCCCGCCCCCACUCCUCAGUAUUUCUCCCGCCAUAAUACUCAACUCUGAAUGCUGUUGCUUUGUCACAAAACUCUUGGACCGUAAACUUCCCAAGGGAGGAGAUAACGUCAGCACAAGCUUCAUUGUCAAGUACACACCAGGCAAGUGGGCAUACUACGUGAAUUGUUUGCCAUAUGGACGAGUGAAUGAAGACUUCCCAGGCUCCAGAGAACAUUCCACUCCUCUGCCUCUGGGAUCAUCCAUCCCUGGCCAACAUAAGGAUAGAAAGAAAAAAAAAAACAAAACUUAAAAUGAAACCAAGCCCUGGAGAGUUGUCAGUAGUGGGGUGCUUGCCUGGACUACGUGAGAACCUGGGUUUCAUCUCAACAUAGAGAGAAAGGAAGAAAACAAGAAAGAGAAAAUCAAAUGAUGAAUGGAAGGCUCUGCUCAGCAUACAGGUCAGAGCCAACUUGGGAAGUUUUAGCCUCAGUCUGGUGGGACAGAUGGAGCCAGAAGCGCAGUCGUUGGCAAUGAAGGAACCUUUGAAGAGGAUGGAAUCGAAGCUCGUCAUCUCCAGAGGAGUACAGAUGGAGCCUGCAUCUGAGAGGGG
rnacentral:lncRNA from 1 species